rnacentral:rRNA from 1 species
CGAACGGCCCGCAAGGGCAGUGGCAGACGAGGUAGUAACACGUACGAACGUACUCCCAAGUCAGGGAUAGCUCACCGAAAGGUGGGGUAAUACUUGAUGGUCCCUCCCGGGGUAAAGAUUUAUCGCUUGGGAAGCGGCGUGCGCAGUAUCAGCUUGUUGGUAGUGUAAUGGACUACCAAGGCUACGACGCUUAGGGGAGCUGAGAGGCUGACCCCCACCGAUGGGACUGAGACACGGCCCAU